rnacentral:lncRNA from 1 species
UGUAAGUGCAGUAGAUUUCAACGCGUUAUUUUAAUGGACCAUUUUUCUAACCGACUUUUCGCACGAAUGAAUUCGCCUUGGAAGAGAUAGGAAGUUCUUUCCCUCAUUUGCAGUCACAAAUCAAUUGUUUAUGAAUCACGAUGAGGGAUAAAAUAAAUCGAAAAAAAGGGAGAUAUUACAGAGAUUACGAAAGAGUACGCAACGGGAGCGCGAAAUUCAAAACAGAUUGAAGGAAGGAACUGCAAACGCCAUCAUUCGUCAGUGUCAGUACUUGUAAUGUAAAAAUCUCAAGCCGCUCACCGAGUGACUUUAGCAAUGGGUGAUGCAAACCAAAUUGAACUACAUAACAGCGUUACAAGAAUCCUGCCCUUUUUCUCAAUUGAUCGAUAUAAGCGUGUAUGCUUGUUGGUUGACAAUGGAAACGUUGUGACCUCCUCGUCGUCAGCGUGCAACAAUUCAUAAACUAAGUGAUCGAUUUAUUCUAAAGUAAGGGUAAUGACAACUAAACGAAGUGUUUCCUUGCGUAAAAAUGGCUUUUGGAAAACCUUGCAACGUACACGCUUAAAUACCGAUCGAGUUUGUGCUUGAAAUUGCCGCUAGAUAGCGCAACUCGACGAAACUGUUUUACCAUCGAAUACAAAAAGUCUGUUGGAUUCUCGCGACAUCUACAAAUGAUUAAUAACGGAUCAACUGUUUGAAAUGUCGUUGAGGUUAGAUUACCAAAUAUGUCCGCGUUUUUCUACGCAUACACGCGCGCGCUUACGCACGUGUACAAAUGCAUAUGUAUGCACAUAUGACAUGUGCGGAUAGUUGUGUAUCCGAUAACCACGAGAGAACGCAAAGAUAUAUUAUGUCACUUUCGCGUGUGACUUUUUAAAAACGUAUCAACGGUUUGCGCGUUACUACCGCGAGUCGAUUUCAAUCGAUUCCCGACAAGAAUUUUUUUGAGACCAUUUCUCUCUAAUACGAAAUGAACAUAUCUCGAACUUUACGACGAUUCAUAAAACAAGACCAUCGAUUCUGAAAUUUAUUGAAAAUAAAUACAACAUAUAUAUUCAUUCCA